ACUUUCUGAAGAACUUCACUGCCAGCUCUAUGCAAGAAAAUGGAACGGUGCUAAACUUUUUCAAGUUCCACUUACUUAGGUAAGCCUGUGACAUACAGCGUUGCGUUUGCUGGAAAAGAUUGCCUGCUUGCUAGGUUACUCUACAGGAGCAAUGAUACAUUCCAUGCCUGUGAGUUGUGGGUGAGAGGCAGCUACUUCAAUAGGUCUAAUCAGCCUUAUACAUGCUGUGACUUCCUCUUUGAUUACUUUUGUGGCCCUGCUCUACAGAUAUUGUACAGUAAGGAAAACUGCACCGUCUUUGACUAAAUAUAUAAAAAUUCAU